AUGCACUCGUUAUUUCGAGCAAGCCAUGGAUUGAUGCUUGUUGGUGGAAGGGGGUAUAAACUUUACCAUUCUGUUUGGGAACCGCCUAUAAUGUGUGUAGCAUGGAAGAUAUCGCCAUCUCUUGGUUGUUAUGUUGACAAUGAAAGUAUACCGCUCAAAAUAUUAUUCACCUUUUUUUCAAAACCGAGCUCUGGCACCUCUACAAAUCCCUACUUCCCUCUGCGAAGGGCCUAUCUAUUUACUUUUAUGCUGAGUCAUCAUCCUCUUAUUAAAAAAGCACCAGUUGGAGAGCACCGCUGUCAUUUGCAUUCAUUACUGUUAGUUUACAUUGAGUAUGACUUGACUAGAUCUCUUUUACCAUGA
rnacentral:rRNA from 1 species